UACGUAGGUGGCAAGCGUUGUCCGGAUUUACUGGGCGUAAAGAGCACGCAGGCGGUUUGGCAAGUCGGAUGUGAAAACCCGAAGCUCAACUUCGGGCCUGCAUCCGAAACUGCCCGACUAGAGGUAGGUAGGGGAGAUCGGAAUUCCUGGUGUAGCGGUGAAAUGCGCAGAUAUCAGGAAGAACACCAAUGGCGAAGGCAGCUCUCUGGGACGGUACUGACACUGAGACGCGAAAGCGUGGGGAGCGAACAGG
rnacentral:rRNA from 1 species